rnacentral:misc_RNA from 1 species
GUAACAAGGUUUCCGUAGGUGAACCUGCGGAAGGAUCAUUACCGUGGGGAUCUCACGAUCCCUACCGAGAUAGAACCCUUGUCUUUGCGUACCCACCGUUUCCUCGGCAGGCUCGCCUGCCAACGAGGACAACCAAAACCCUUUUUGUAAUAGCAGUAAACGUCUAAAAACAAAUCGUUAAAACUUUCAACAACGGAUCUCUUGGUUCUGGCAUCGAUGAAGAACG